CUUUUCGUAGCGUAGUGGCAACGCGCCUGUCUAGUGAGUACCAGUCGUGAGUUCGAGUCUCACCAAGAGGA
rnacentral:tRNA from 1 species